UCUCCGUUGGUGAACCAGCGGAGGGAUCAUUACUGAGUUACCGCUCUACAACCCUUUGUGAACAUACCUAACUGUUGCUUCGGCGGGCAGAGGUCCCUCGCGGAUCUCUCCCGGCAACGCCCUCACGGGCGGAGCGCCCGCCGGUGGAUACCAAACUCUAUUUUAACGACGUUUCUUCUGAGUGGCACAAGCAAAUAAUUAAAACUUUUAACAACGGAUCUCUUGGUUCUG
rnacentral:misc_RNA from 1 species